AUUGAACGCUGGCGGCAGGCCUAACACAUGCAAGUCGAGCGGCAGCGGGGAGUAGCUUGCUACUUUGCCGGCGAGCGGCGGACGGGUGAGUAAUGUCUGGGAAACUGCCUGAUGGAGGGGGUUAACUACUGGAAACGGUAGCUAAUACCGCAUAACGUCGCAAGACCAAAGAGGGGGACCUCCGGGCCUCUUGCCAUUAGAUGUGCCCAGAUGGGAUUAGCUAGUAGGUGGGGUAACGGCUCACCUAGGCGACGAUCCCUAGCUGGGCUGAGAGGAUGACCAGCCACACUGGAACUUAGACACGGUCCAGACUCCUACGGGAGGCAGCAGUGGGGAAUAUUGCACAAUGGGCGCAAGCCUGAUGCAGCCAUGCCGCGUGUAUGAAGAGGGCCUUCGGGUUGUAAAGUACUUUCAGCGGGGAGGAAGGUGUUGAGGCUAAUAACCUCAGCAAUUGACGUUACCCGCAGAAGAAGCACCGGCUAACUCCGUGCCAGCCGCCGCAGUAA
rnacentral:rRNA from 1 species